AGGAAGUGUAAGUGGAAUACUAAUGGAGAAUUAAUCAUGCACCUCUCCCUCUGCUUCCUUUUACUUUUGGAAACAAGCCACAGCCUCUUAUUUCUUCCCCAGGUUUGUUUUCAGGAUGGAUGUUUAUUCCGGUAGAGUUGGAGCUGCUGGCAGAAGGGGCUGAUCUGGUGAUGUCACUGGAACUUUCCAGUUUAAGCUGCUUUCCUGCCUCUGCCACAUGUGGACGUUGAAACGACAUUAACAUCCAAACCCAAUAGUCAACCAUUUUUAAGAGAGCAUGUUUUUUGCUGGUACUAUCGUGAGCUCUUGAGUUCAAGUUUCACAGCUUUUUCUCCAUGAUUCCAAGGAUGCACCAGGCUGUCUCUGCACUGAAGAUGCACCAGGGCAGUGAGCUGUGGUCCCCUUGUUGACACUGGCCAGGCACUCCUGCUGAAAGGAUGGGGGUGAGCCAUUUGGAGAGCCUAUGCCCUGGUCAAUUGGAGCAGGUGGAUGUGAAAUGAAUGAUUAAAUAAAUGCAGUGGCCAUUGCACACCCUCCCUCCAACAGUACAAAGCACAGAAACAUCCUAUUUCAGAUUUGAUAUCUGCUAUCAAUUGAGAUUGAAGGUAUUGAUCCAGGCUGAUUGCUGGGGAUAAUCAGUAAGUGGAGGGUAAUUGACUGUCAUGUCUCUCAUUGAUUGGGCACCAUAGUUCACAGCAGCCAACAUUAUUUUCAAGCACUUUGCAGCAUCUCCUUUAAUAAGGAAAUACAGACUUUAAGUAACAGUGAUUUAUGUGCGCUGCCAUUUAGAGGGUGGGUGAGGACAUUCUUAGCCAACAUGUCCUUGCCUUAAACAAACUGAAAGGUGCCACCAGGAGAAUGCUGGAGCAGGAAAGCAAGGAUUUUGGUUUGCAUGUGUGUUGCUGUGAGCCAGCACCGUGCUGUGGGACUAUCCCACUCCUCCUCUGCUGCUGCUUGGCUGCAGUAGAUACUAACAGAGGGCCUUUGAGGCAGCAAAGGCACUGCACGUGGGCCAGGAGAGUGUGACCUCCUCUCUAGGUUGCUUCAAGUGUUAAAGCAACUAAUAUUUUAUAUAUUUUAUAUGUGUUCUACCAGGGCUCAUUAGCAACUGAUCCAGAAAACUUUCCUGGGAGAAGAAUAAAUUGGGAAAGUUGCUGCAAUCAAAUCCACAAAAAGCUCACAUAAAAUUUUUACAUAUAAUCAGGACGGAAAAGUUACCUCAUUUCCUGCCAUGCACUUCAAAUUACUAUAGACAAAGAUUAUUCAAUCCUAAUACUUAUGGUGAGCAUGAAACCUCUUUCUGUACUUACCAGGAACAGGCAGAUUAAAUAUCUUUUCUCCUUGAGGAGAGACUGGGUUAGUAACCUGCAAAGUGGCUGCUGUUGGUUUUUAACAAUCUGUACUACCUGACACUUUGGUGCCUCUCAUCUGCAAGCUCCUUUGGGUAGGGACUGCUCCCUGUGAACUGAGGUCCAGUGAAAUGAAUGGAGUUGAGUUGUUCCAUGAAUUAGUGUACCUAAAUAUCUUAGUUCCUUGGCUUUGGAGUGGAUUCAGGGAUGAAGGUCCCAAUUUUGACUCCACAAAACCCAGAACUGGUCACAUUCUAGUCACGGCUAAAGCAAAGCAGGCUGCAGAGUUACUGUACAUGCUGGUUUCCCACCUAAACAUUAUUUACAGGCAGAUUUGGAGGCUUUUUAUGUGUUUGUCUCGGAUUUCCCAAUGUCUGGCAGCCUGUUGGGAGUUGCCAGAUGUCCAGAGAUGCUGACCUCGCCAGCUAAGCAUGCACAAGCUCUUUCACUUCAGGCUCAAAGCAAGCCCAGUGCCUCCAGCACCACACGGUUGGCCACUCACGUGGUGUCUGGCCCUUUGAAGAAUGUGGAGGAAGAGCAGGAGAUGCCAGGGAUUCUGUCUACAGCCUGUCCCAGCAGCACAGCCAGCUUCAGUCACUGUGAUGCAUCCUGAAGUCUUUGUCCUAGUGGGCAGCACUGUUUGUUCGAGUCAUUUGAGAUUCAGGAGCAACAUAGGGGUGGGAGAACAUGCAGGAAGAAGCCUGUGGACUUUGUGAAUGUACAUAAGGCAUGAAGGCAACUCUGACAGAUCUGUGUCAGUGUGUAGCCACUGUUCCUUGAGCGCUUGCUCUAAGCCCCAAAGUUGGCUUUUUCCUUACAAAUAGGACUUAAUGAGCUACCCUUUACCCAGAUUUCUCAUUGAUUUCCUUCCCAGCUUUCAGGUGGUCAAACCCCACCUGAAAGUGAGUUUUGGGCGCUUCUCACCCAUCACAGUUGCUGAGUUGAGCUGUUCUUCCCCUUGGGUUUCAGUCUGUUAAGCAGCUCAGCCCAACCUGCUUUUAGUUUGCUUUGUCUUGACUUUUUGGUGCUGCUGGUGAACCGAAACACCCAUCUCUUGUGUCGAGGGCAGGGCAGACUGGGGAAGUCACUGAAGCCACUGAAAUUUCACAGUGACAGGUGGCAGCCCUGCGGGCAUCGCUCAUGAGUCAGCCACGCCGCAGGGCAGCGAGGGCGCCUGAGGAGGUUUCUCAUCCCACCCAAGUUUCCUUUCCUGGGAAGCAGGGUGACUGUGCUGGGGUGCGUGGGCUGUGUGAGCUCCCAGAGAGUCAAACCCAAACCGAGCUGACAGAAUAGCUGUAGCCUCAAGCGCCCCAGCAAAAACCUCCUGUGCUGGAGGCUUAAACUGCUGAUUACACAGAGCUGGCUGGCCCUGGGUCACAGUCGAGGUGCUGGCUCAGACCAUGGCUAAAUGUGCAAGAGAAACAGAAAAAAUGCUGUGCUAGAUGGGGUCAAUGCAUCAGUCACUUCAGAGAGAGGUAAAACCUACAAACAGCAGCCAUGUGUUGCUUACUCCCCCUCAAUUUUUUCUGUUAAUCCCAACAAUCCUGUACUGGUGGGUUUAUGGAAGUGUAAGACUGGGAUCCCCUCCGACCCCUCUUAAAAUAACUUGUGUGAGAGCUCCACAUGUGCUUUUAGUGAGCAACUGCACUAUUUCCAUUGCAUUUGCUGAAGAGGGGAUGAUGAGAAGGAGGAAGAGGAAGGUUGUGUGAGCCAGCAGUUAAUACUGAAGGACAAAAAAUUUAAAGGUUUAGCGUCACAGCAUUAAUUUACACAAAAUAAGAAGAAUUUCUCCUUAUUGAGUGGAUAUACUGCAGGAAUAUACAACAGGACAAGCAGGGCAAAUGCAUGCCACAGUGAAACAAGAGUUAAACAACAUCCCUGUGAUAGAUCAUUAAGGAUAUGGAGUCUAAAUGUGUGGCAAAACUACAGCAUUGUGCAGAUGCUCCUAUACCAGCAACUUAUUUUACAUAUUGCAAAGUGUAGAGAUAAUUCCCAGUAGCAAAUGCACACAAAACCCAACCUAUUCCAUACUGAAUGCAAAUUUGGAUUGUUGGACAAGGUGAAUUUGGAGGGGUGAGUGGGACUGAGUUGAGCUGCUUCUGCCUGGGAUUACAGCUGCCUUCAGCUGGAAAUGGAACUUGUCUCCCUGCAACCUCCCCACUUCAGACCAGCCAUGUGUACAGCAGGGAUGGAUCAACAAGGAGUGAGAAGGGUUAAAUAAACAACAGAGCCAGGACUAAAUAGGUAAAUGCUGAGGAAUUCUCUUUUUUAACAUGUAUAUAUAUUGAGAAAAAAAUUAAGGCAACAUUCCUCCCGCUAAUUAGUGUUUCCUCGGCACUGUGCAAACUACAGCUGUAGGAAGAAUUCAGGAAAAGUAAUCAGCAGCACAAUUAAGCAAUCUGCCAUAAUGACAGAACACAACUUUAGGGAUAGAAUAAUCAGAAACAUAUAUAUUUCUCCUUCUUGAUUUUCAUUUCCCACCCAAUGAUUUGCCUUUGCAGGGUGUAUAUAAAGCAGUGCCUGAUAGAAAUGCCCAUAUUUCUCUGCUACAGCUUCCAGACCUUGCUGCAGUGAGGAUGCCCAUGUUAAUUCCUGCCAAUCACUGACAACUAAUGUUAUUCUUACUGUUAUUUUUGAAAACCUAAUGUUUGAUCUGCUUUAAUCCUAAUUUUGCCACCCUGUCUCAUAUAAACUCCCUUCACUCCUUUAAAUUAGAGACUCUAGCUCCUUUAAGUGGAAGAUAUCCAGACAAGAAAUCCUGGAGCCGAGGUCCCUUUUUUUCCUGCCAGCCAUCCACCCAAGGAAGCAGAGCAGGGAGAUGCUUCACACUGUGUUUGUGCAACCUCCAGCUCUGCUCAGGAGAGGAAAACGCCUACACCUGUGAGCAGACAGUGAGGGGAAUGGGCCUGACCCGCUCCAUCUGCACAAGCUGUUUUCCCAGAGCUCCCUCAGGCUAUAGGAACCGACAAAGAAGGUAGGCUCCUCUCCAAGGAGGUGGUUUGGAAGGGAGAAGGGAAACAUGACCCUUGAGAAGGGGCUCCCAUGCAUUUCAGCUCUCUGCCAGUCGUGGACCAAGGCUGGUUGGAAUGAAGCCACAGGAGAGAGUGAAGCUCGUGUGUUGCUGUGGGAAGGUAGGUGUUCUCCUUGGGCUCUGCUCGGGGUGUUUACUGGCUACUGGGAGGGGGCUCUCAGAAAAACAGGAAGAGAAGCAGUUUUGGUGGAGUCAGGAGUGAUCUAUGUGCUCUGCUAGGUCACAGUCAUUAACACUGGGACACGGUGAGUUUUGUGGUGGUAUUUCCCAGGAGCUGCUGAAAUUAUUGGACAAGGCCACCAGCCUUUCCCUGGGAGGUGGCAGCACUGCAGUGAUGUUGCAGGAUCCUUCCAGGAUGGUGGAGCAGGUGGGAUUGCUCCUGAAGGCGUCUGGAUGGAGCUCUCAACUGUGCUUUGUUCAGCUGGGGUGUGUUGGUGCCCUGUUAUCCUCGCACAAUCAUGGACUUCCUCCUGCUCAUUCCCAGAUGGAGCUUUUCCUUAUUAUUCCCCUGUAUGGAAAGAGUUGGCUGGUCCUGGAGGUUCUUAGAAGUGGCUCAAGUUUGUAGCUUCUGGUGUAAGAGAAGGCCUUAGGUGUUUUGCAUUUACAUGUGGCUGGUAAAAACUUAGCUUCCAUCAGAAAUAAACUAGGAACUGUAAAUGUUGUAUUGAGGAAUCUUUAUAAAUGCAGUUCUCUGGUUUGCAUCCUAUAUAACCUAAUAAAACGACAACUAUGAAGUUACAUAUUUUGACAAUUAAAUUUUCAUAAUGGGAUAAGUGCAGCUUGCAGCCUGGAACUUUGAUAACCUGAAAAACUUUUAUUUUUGUCUUAGGGGAUAAGCUUGACAUAAAAACUUAAAGAAACACCCUAACACUGAGGAGCCCAAGACCUCCUCAUGUGCAGGAAGAUGUGAGUUCCACCUGCUUCAGGCACUAAUGAAAAAUCUUAAUGCCACUUAAAUAAUUUUCUGGUAUUUGUCUUAGUAUGGCAAAAGAAUAAAUUCUCUUGGGGGCCAGAUUCUUCUGUCACUAAAGCUGAUGAAAAGUCACAUUACCAUGACCUGUUCCAGAGCUUUUGGAUCAGAACUGGUGCUAUUCUGUGAGCUCCCUUUUCAUCUGGGACACUGGCCUGCAAACAAACAGACACACAGAGCUGUUCCUCCUCUUCCUGUGUGCCCCUGUUAGUGGAAAUCAUUGGGAACACCAAGUCCAGGGAGCAGAGAUGUGUCUAUAAAACUCGUUCACAAAAUCCUAAACCAUGAAGGAAUGCUGGGUUAAUUUUUCAUCUGAGUAUCAGCUGAAAGUAAUGUAAACCCCAAAUUAAUGCAGACAAUGCCUAGUCAGGUCUGCAGGCCCUCUGUAUUUUUGAAUUCUUUUCUACUAAAACUCAAUAAAAACAUGGGGGUGGAAGGUGCUGCUGGGAAUUUGCUUUUUGUUCUGCUUAAGUGCUGUAUUUCUCAGCAGUCUUCAAGUUGCUCAGCAUGAAGAUAUUGUUACAUUAGAACUACUGUGGGUUUAACACAAUUCAGAAUUUGCAGGCAAAUGGAUAUAUUGUGUUGGGGCUUAUCCACAAAGGACUGUGAAACUACAAAUUACAACCCAGCUGCAUUCUCUUAUCUGGAUUUUUUCCCCCUCAUGUGCCUGUGACUCCUCCCCUGCUCACAAGCAGAAGGUGUAAGGAGAAACCCAAACGAGAAAAAGAGACAUAGGCCUGAAGUCAGAAGGGGCCCUGACACUGGAGAUCCUGCCCUUGUCUGUGGGUGCUUUCCAUUAGCAGAGGAUGUGGUGCCUCUGGAUCUAGUGUUUUAGUGAUUGCCUGAGAACUUUGUUUCUGUAAUUCUCCCUAGAAAACUGUGGCAGAUGUGGCAAUAGUCAGCACAUCCACAGAAUGCUUCUCUGACAAGGAAGAAGAAGGGGGCAACUCUUUUUGGAUUGUUAAAUAAGCCAAACAUAGGAUCCACCCAUGUUAGGUUCUGAGCUGUUCUUGGUCCUCAUUCUUCCUUUCUGAAGGGAAUUAAAAACCCCCAGUAAGUCCCUAUGGGAGAAGUAGGAGAUAUUUACACUUAGAGUAGUUUGAGACAAGGCUUUAGCAGCUGU